UGGAAAAUGAUGAUUUCUCGCUGAGCUGAUGUGAUACGAAUCACAAAUGACCGCUUCCAAAGAUAGUCAAGUCCUGAUCCAG
rnacentral:snoRNA from 11 species